AGGUGGAAAUUUUUGAUUUUUUAACAUUUAGUCUAAGGUUCCCGAGGGGUGGGCAUCUAGACCAAGGGUCAGCGCACCUUCUGUAUAGUUCUGUGGCCUGUGUCACAGCAGUGUUGGCAGUGUGGCCUUUGAAGGAGGAAGCAUUUACAGUCUGGGUCUUUGCUGUCUGGGACCCCAGCCUCUUCCAGCCUGAGGCAGGCUGGCCCUCCCCUCCCACUGUGGGUCCUGGGGCAGCUCAGCCUCUCCAGGGGGCUCUGCAGGUGUGAAGUGAGCAUCCUAGGACUUGGGGGUGGACAGGGCCCUCAGUAUGCCUUGGCCUUUGGUCUGGGCCCAGAACUGUACUCAGGGACACCAGUGCAGCUCCUGAGUCCAGAAGCCUGUGGGACUCUGUCCACACCUGGGGGGGGGGGGGGGACAUAAGCUGCACCCGCCACCCAGGAGGAAGGUGGCAGCCUCAGGCUUCCUGCCAGCAGGCAUGUCCUUAAACAGCCGUUUUUCGGCGAGGAGCCCACCUGGCCAAGUGUUUCUGCCUCCUGCUGCACUGGGGGUGAGCCCAGCGUCCCUGCAGCACCGUCCCUCACCUGCUUCCUGCUCUUAGCAGGUGACUGCCCUCAGCUGCUCCUGACUGCUCCAGCGCAGCCUUCUCUCCAGCCCUCCCCCAGGCUGCACAGCUCUGUCUCCUCAGAGGUCUUUUCUGACCACUGGGUCUAACGUCGGUUCUCCUGGUUGCUUCCUUGUGUUUAUUACAACCGAGACGUGGUCCUUGUAGGCACUGCCACUGGGCACCUGCCUGGGUCCUUCUGCCAGCUCAGCUGCUAGCUGUGUGGCCUUGGGCAAGUAACUGGAGCUCUCUGCCUCUGGUCAGAAUUCAGUGGGCUAAAGCAGCGGUCCCAAACCUCUUUGGCAGCAGGGACUGGUUUUGUGGAAAUCCAUUUUUCCAGGGACUGGGGGAGGGGAAUAUGGUUUGGGCAGUAACGCGAGCCAUGGGGAGCAGCAGAUGAAGCUUUGCUUUCUGCCUCUCAUCUGCUGUGCAGCCCAGUCCUAACAGGCUGCAGACCAGUAUUAGUCCACAGCCCGGGGUUUGAGGACCCCUGGGUUAAAGAAUGCAGGUAAGUGUGGUAAUUAGCUGUUGGUGUAGCGGUUUAAGCCUAUGACAAGCUGGAUGGCGUCUCUAUUCAGAUGGGCGUGUGGCGUGCGUGUGUACACAUAUACGUACAUACAUGUACACUUGAGGAGUGGCUGUUUGCUCUGACUACCCCAGAUGUGCCAUGAAGCAGGUGUCAUCCCCGCCUUACAGAUGUAGAAACCGAGGCUCAGACGGGUAAAGGUCACCCACAUCAUUGCUCCUGGUGUGUUUCCUAUGCACCUAUUAUGUGCCAGCCACUAUGCCAUGGGCCAAGGAUUCAGGUCUCUGCCAUCCUGAGGACCCUGUGCAGAGAUGACAACCCUGCCCCCACUUCACAGCUCUGUGCUGGGGCCCAGGAGCUCCACACACCUGGUCAGUUCCUGACCCGCUUCCCACCCUGCUGCCUGCUCCAGCCUUCCUCUGUGGCCGUGAACGUGAUCGCUUCCUGCCAAACCCUCUUCCUCCCCUGGACCAUCCACCCUCACCCCACUGGGGUCUGUCCUCAACCCAGGUGGAGUGGUAUCCUUAGUUCCAGGUGGAACUUAGGCGACUUAAUACCUGCUCAAAACCCUCCCACGGUUCCCAUCCCACUCCGAGUGAAAGGCAGCCCCCUGGCCUUGGCUAGUCGGGCCCAUCUUCACUCAGAUGCCCAGCGCCUUGCUGUCCACCCAGAGAGCGCGGUUCUGCCUGGGACCAUCUGCACUAGUUGUUACUCUGUCUGGAAGGUGCUUCCCCACAGGGAGCCAGGGCCUCUUAACUCGCACAUGUUGCCGGGCAGUGAGGUCUCUCCUGACCACUUUUCUUCCCCUUUGGCCACUAUCCGGGUUCUUAGUUCCCUGACCAGGGAUCGAACCCGUGCUCCCUGCAGUGGAAGCACGAAGUCUUAAACUUCGGACUGCCAGGGAAGUCCCUCUUUUGGCCACUCUUAAAAAUCAAGACCCACCCCCACACCGGCUUCAUUUUUCUCCGCAGCACUUAAGUCCAUCUAGCGGGAGUGUCCUGUGAGGCAGUACUUAGCCUGGCACCCCAGCAUACCACAUGCACACAGCGCUGAGCAUCUGCUCACCCAUGUGGCGGCCGGUCGUCAGAUGGUGUCCCUCUCCUUGUCUGCCCCAGAGCCCUGCUCCUCUAGGCCCUUAGCCCACGUGGAGUCCGGCUGGUCACCUGAACCCCCAAGAUAACUACCUCCCUCUGUGGCCUCAGUUUCCUCCUCAUAACACAGCCUCGCUCAGUCUCUGGACCUCUAGCCCUGCGGAUGGCCAGGCCAUCAAGGGUGGCUGGGCUGGGCAUGCCACGCCAGGGGUCUGGAUGGCACUUCGGUGAGGGGGAACCAGGAGAGGGCUGGUGGGAGGGAGCAGGUCUCAGUCGUGAGGCUCUGCUGCUGGAGCCCCAGUGCUGCAGGCACUCCAGGCCUCAGCUGCCCAUCUCCCUCCUGGGGAAGGAGAGAGCUUGGCGGCAGGUGUGGUUCUUAUGGGGGGCCAUCUAUGCAAACUUUGUUUUCUCGCAAGUGAUGUAUGUUGGCGUGGAAAUUGGAAAAGCAAAUAAAGAAUACAAGGUUU
rnacentral:lncRNA from 1 species